rnacentral:rRNA from 1 species
ACUGUGAAGCAUCCUGUUAAGUCAGGCAACGAGCGAGACCCACGCCAACCAGUUGCCAGCUCGUCCUCCGGGAGUGGUGGGGACACUGUUGGGACCGCCUCUGCUAAAGAGGAGGAAGGAAUGGGCAACGGUAGGUCAGCAUGCCCCGAAUUAUCUGGGCUACACGCGGGCUACAAUGGGUGGGACAAUGGGUAUCGACACCGAAAGGUGAAGGCAAUCUCCUAAACCCAUCCGUAGUUCGGAUUGUGGGCUGCAACUCGCCCCACAUGAAGCUGGAAUCUGUAGUAAUCGUGUCUCCAAAAUGGCACGGUGAAUAUGUCCCUGCUCCUU